rnacentral:rRNA from 1 species
AUGCAAGUCGAACGGUAACACAGGGGAGCUUGCUCCCUGGGUGACGAGCGGCGGACGGGUGAGUAAUGUCUGGGAAACUGCCUGAUGGAGGGGGAUAACUACUGGAAACGGUAGCUAAUACCGCAUAACGUCGCAAGACCAAAGAGGGGGACCUUCGGGCCUCUUGCCAUCAGAUGUGCCCAGAUGGGAUUAGCUAGUAGGUGGGGUAAUGGCUCACCUAGGCGACGAUCCCUAGCUGGUCUGAGAGGAUGACCAGCCACACUGGAACUGAGACACGGUCCAGACUCCUACGGGAGGCAGCAGUGGGGAAUAUUGCACAAUGGGCGCAAGCCUGAUGCAGCCAUGCCGCGUGUGUGAAGAAGGCCUUCGGGUUGUAAAGCACUUUCAGCGAGGAGGAAGGUGGUGAACUUAAUACGUUCAUCAAUUGACGUUACUCGCAGAAGAAGCACCGGCUAACUCCGUGCCAGCAGCCGCGGUAAUACGGAGGGUGCAAGCGUUAAUCGGAAUUACUGGGCGUAAAGCGCACGCAGGCGGUUUGUUAAGUCAGAUGUGAAAUCCCCGGGCUCAACCUGGGAACUGCAUUUGAAACUGGCAAGCUAGAGUCUCGUAGGGGGGGGUAGAAUUCCAGGUGUAGCGGUGAAAUGCGUAGAGAUCUGGAGGAAUACCGGUGGCGAAGGCGGCCCCCUGGACGAAGACUGACGCUCAGGUGCGAAAGCGUGGGGAGCAACAGGAUUAGAUACCCUGGUAGUCCACGCUGUAAACGAUGUCGAUUUGGAGUUGUGCCCUUGAGGCGUGGCUCC